CAAUCAUUUAAGCGCUGCAAUGGAGCUCAAUGUCUGGCUCAGCUGCUGUGUGGUGUAACCUCUGACUCCCACUCCCAGCCCUGUGCACUCACAAACACAGACUGCUCUAAAGAAAGAACGUUUCUCUGGGGUAUGUAACUGCAUAAGGCUCAGCAAGAGAUCAGGCAGAGAGGAAAAUCUCUGUGCAUGGGUCACUUCUUUUCUCUUACUGAUACUAUUUCAAAUCUAAUUGAAACAUUCUUUGGAGAAAGCUGUGCUACCCACCCCUUCAGCUUUGAUAUGGCUUUUUAAUCAGAGGACAUUGUUAUUUCACAAUGAGCAUGGAAAGCAUUUAAAACAUUUUCUAGAUGGAGUGCAUUACUCCUGACCUCAGCUAGAAGACCACAUUAAAAGAAGUUCAGUGGGAUUCACUCUUUACAGCCUUAGGGUUUUGAAAGAUUGGUGCAGAUGUGGGAUUUGCUAAGACACAGGUUCGCUGAUUAUAAAGGCUUAAACAGUGAGAUGACUUAAAAACUGCAAGGUCAGUUCUUGCUGGUGAUUCCUUGCAGUGCUCCAGGGAAUUGUGAUGUGAGCAUUACCCCUAACCAUGUGACACCAUGGGUGAUGCAUUACUGUCAUGUUGGGACUGGGCAGAGCGAUGGUGGAAGGUGGCUCAAGGUCCUGUGGAGGACAGUGAGCUCUGUGGGUACAUUUUCCCAUCACUUCCCAGAACCAAGAAGAGCAUCACUGGAGACCUGCUAUGAUGAAGUACACCAGACUUGCAUUUUUGCUCUGAUCAGUUCUACCAUAUUGUCUCAAGUUUGUUCCCAAUGCGAAGUAAGGAACCUCUGAAGCUGGACUUGCUGGAGUUGUGCAUACAUACAGUGUACAACUUACCUAUUCUGCUAGAUAGUGCUUUUGAGUUUCAGGUUGAAAUAAACACCAGAU
rnacentral:lncRNA from 1 species